CUGGUAUCUACCAUUAAUCACUGAUAUUUUGGAUUUGAUUGUGAUCUAUAUAUAUGAUUUAUGCCUUUUGUCUUUGUCCUUGCUUGUGUAACUUUUGAUCAACCGUUGCAGGAUGUUAAAUGUCCAGGCUGCUUCCAAAUGUAAGUUCCUGAAAAAGAGCGGUUAAAUUCCUCGUGUUAUAAGUUUCCAUGUAGUAGUAAGGUACUAAUAAUCGAUCCAACUUUUACAGAACAACAAUUUUCAGCCACUCGCAAACCGUGGUUACAUGCCCCAACUGCCAGCAAGUGCUCUGCCAGCCAACUGGUGGACGCACAAAACUUACUGAGGGAUGCUCUUUUAGGGUUAAAGAGAAGGCUAUGAUGGUCGUGGGUUGAUAUUUGCUAGAGGUUCUGGUUAAGCUGUGACAUUAUAAAUUAGGUUUUUGAAGAAUGAGUUGGUUAAGAGAACUUUUCCUUUGCUCGGUAGUACUUUUUUGUUUUGAGUUCUGACUUUGAUGAAUACUUUGGCAAUCAUAUUACUCUUACCACAUUUUGAAGUACUUAAUCUUCUUCCUGAUCUUGAUUUUAACAUUACUUAAUCUUCUUCCUGAUCUUGAUUUUAACAUUUUUCAGAAGAUACUCCAUGUUUGUUUGUGCUUUUAUGUUUUUGGUAUUCAUGUUUAAUGCUAGAAAUAUGCCCUGUUUUGAAUUUGAAGCGCAUGGCUGUUCCUUUGGAUAAAAUUAAGUCGAGUAACUUGCUUUGAGUCUCUAUUGCAAGAUAAACACGACGUUUAUACUCUACUUUUGACUGGUGCAAUGUGCCAUGAAAAUUGCUUGAAUCCGUCAGGAGCUUGACUCACUCAAUCCAAGCCUCAGAAUGUUUCUAGCUAUGUUUGGUAAACCUUUUUGGGAUGUUAUGUGUACUUAUAAACUAACCGCAACUUUAUGGUAUCGAGUAUAACUGAAUAAAGAAGUAUGUACAGGAGAUUAAUGAAUUCUUGUGUGAUUGAAGCUGUGUAACGUCUAUUUGUUCAAGUUACUGGUUUUAACCUGGACAGUUUCCAGGAAUAUUUGUAAGCGCCACUAGUUUUAUAGUAACGCAGUAAGGCAACAUGACACACUGUUUAAAGAGUAUUUUAACACAACAUUAACAUACAUUACAUAUAAAAUGGGACUUCAAAUCCAGCUGAACAGUGCAAAAGGGGCAUGAAAAAACAGUAAAAGAAAAGACCUGGAAGAAAGGCAUCACCUUCCCUUUGCCUUUAUGACUUGCCUGUGAGUUCUUCGCAUCCACUCAGAUCAGAUGCAGUGAAGGCUAAUAGUCUACACAGAAUGGUUUGAAGUCACCUUCACUAUCAUCCCAUCCUUGGUUUUUAUCAAAUACUUCUUUCUCUUCUUUCUCCACAUCUUUUUGUGCUUCUUUCUCUUCUUUUUGCAUUUCUUUUGAGUCUCAGAGUCCAAGAUAUAUUGACAGUGGAAGCCAAGACUUUCUCACCAUAAUAAAGAAACGACAAAUCUGGAGGGUCCUCCCUCUUAGCAAAUUGUUACUAAAGACAAGGAGACCUAUUCACUCUCCAUGUGUGGAGAAAAAGCAAAAGAUUAAACAAAAGUAUAAAACUACCGAUUGGUGGAGAAUAGAGAUGAGAGCUAAAGUUAGCUGACAGGUGGAGAAGUGGAGUGUGCCUAAUAAAGGUGCAAUUCAAAGGAUAAAAUAACGUGAAAAAUGUUGGACAUGCAAACAAUUAUAUAGCAAGUAGCAAACUUCAAAAAGUAGAAUACGGUAUAAUGGAAGAUAUAGAUAUGCCUUUCUCUUUAUAGAUUACAAUCACUUUGCACCGUCCACUUCGUUUACCCAAACACUACCUCCCCGUAAAAGUUAUCUUUUAUAUCAAUAUUUCAUUAUAACAGUUAAAUUUUCUUUAAAACCAAUCUUUCAUGUUAUAUUGUUAUAUAUAUUUUCUAUAACAAUACUUCAAUAUAAUAAUAAAAAAUAUUCAGAACAACAAAACUAUUAUAAAAAUAUUUGACUAUUGUUGUGGAGAAUCUAAUGGAACCCCAUAGGCCAUAGCGACUAUCCAUUGAGUGGUUGGGAGAUAUUAUCAGCCUUUAGAAUCUAAAAAUAUAUGGAAUUGGGAAGUGUAUUGUUAGUUCAUUUACUUUUAACGGUUUAUAAAAUAUUUACACAAUCAAAUGAACACUCAACCAUGGAUAAUCAUAAUAUAUAACCCACAGACAACCAUGGGUUUGUGCAUGUUUGACUAGAUAGCUUCACUAAGGUCAAGGCCGGCUUUAAGGUGAAGCCAGUUAGGCCACUGCUUUAGACCCCCAAAUUUGGGGCACCCAUUUUUAGCAAAAAUAAGUUACAAGGGUAUAUUUUUGUUUCCCCUAAAUAUUGAGAAGAUGAAUUUAAAAAAAAUAUAAACAUAAAAAGUUUUAGAUGUAUAGAACCUUUAGACAUGAAUUUUAUCAUUAACAGUGUAAGAUAGGGAGUGCAGACACCAUCGUAAGUAAAUUAAGUUUCUUUCUCAUUUAUUAUGUUUUAAGGUUCUUAUUACUAAUUAUAUUGCUCAAUAAAAAAAAAUAUUUUUCACCACUAAAAUGUAGAAAUCGAAUUUAAUGAUAAUGGUGUAAUUUAUAGAAAGAAAAAAAUUGAUAAGAAUAUCGAUAAUCACAAAGUUUCUUGUAAAGUUGAUUGCUUCUUAUAUGCAGUAGACCAAGCUAAGUUCACUUCACAAUACAUUUAAACAAUUUGAAGCUUAUAUUAUUCAAUAUUUCUUAAAAUAUAAUAGUCAAUCUAAUAUUAACGAUUUAGACUUACUUUCUGAAUUAAAAGUGUUAAAUAAUUUAAACUUACCUAAGAUCAACAAUGUCUCAAGAAAUAUUAAACGAAUUCGCUAUAUUAUCAACUGAAAAAGAAUAAUUACAAGAAAUCAAUUGUAAUAAAAAAUAACUUUGCAUCUUACAAAGCUAAAAAAAAUAGACUUCAAAUAAAUUAGUUAUUUUUUUAAAAGUUUAAGUCCUAAAUUAAAUUUUGGCUUUCGGCCCCUCGUGUGGUUGAGCCGCCCCUACUAAGGCAGAAGGCAUAUUUAAGGCAAUAUUUAGAAAUAUACCGACAGCAGAAGCACACACUACUAAAAAACUGUCAAAAAGCGUCCAGAAAAUCCGACCGAAAUCGGUCGGAAUCGAACAAAAAUCGACCGAUUUUCGACCAUUUUCAAU
rnacentral:lncRNA from 1 species